rnacentral:rRNA from 1 species
GAUGAACGCUGGCGGCGUGCCUAAUACAUGCGAGUCGAGCGAACAGACGAGGAGCUUGCUCCUCUGACGUUAGCGGCGGACGGGUGAGUAACACGUGGAUAACCUACCUAUAAGACUGGGAUAACUUCGGGAAACCGGAGCUAAUACCGGAUAAUAUAUUGAACCGCAUGGUUCAAUAGUGAAAGACGGUUUUGCUGUCACUUAUAGAUGGAUCCGCGCCGCAUUAGCUAGUUGGUAAGGUAACGGCUUACCAAGGCAACGAUGCGUAGCCGACCUGAGAGGGUGGUCGGCCACACUGGAACUGAGACACGGUCCAGACUCCUACGGGAGGCAGCAGUAGGGAAUCUUCCGCAAUGGGGGAAAGCCUGACGGAGCAACGCCGCGUGAGUGAUGAAGGUCUUCGGAUCGUAAAACUCUGUUAUUAGGGAAGAACAAAUGUGUAAGUAACUAUGCACGUCUUGACGGUACCUAAUCAGAAAGCCACGGCUAACUACGUG